CCAGGACGCCCGCCGGGCGGAGCGCGUCGCUGCUGUCCCGUGCCGCGCCCCUCUAACCUCUCCGGCAGGUGGACGGCUCCUGCGGCUUUACUGGCGUCUGGCCUGGAGAAGUCCCGGCCGAAAAUAUCUGGAUCGUGAAAGUUAAGGCUGCUGAGUCUACAGCAGCGGCCUCAUCCCUGCCCAAAGGUCAUGGAGGACACUGGGAGGACAUGGAGAAGACUCAGACCAGAUCUGAAGACCCAAGGAAACUAAACCAGAGAAAAACCUGGUUUCCAUUACUGGAAGGGGACUUGAAGAGAUGGUGUAUAGUAAAGAUUGGUUCAAGCAGGAAUCAUCCAUGGAUGGUGGCUCUAGGGGGUUGUGGUUUAUUGUGGGGCAGAUAUUUGCCUGGGUUAGUGUGUCUCUCCAAUAGGUGGUUUAGGCUUAUUAGUAGCAAGAGAAAAGUAUUCAGUAUACAAAGGAGCAGGGAGACAGCACCUUUACCAGGAUCAAAACUGACAUCACCGAUGAAAGCAGACGGAUAACAUGUCUUCAGAACACAUCACCUAGACAGUAUUUCCAGGGAAAAUUCAGAACCUAAAUCUAAUGAUAAUGAAACCCCAGACAAACCAAAAUGAGGAAUAUCUAUUUUAAAAGGAGGCAGGGACUGUAUUCUUCAAACAUGUCAAUGUCGCAAAAGAAAGCUUGGGAAAUGUUCUAGAUUAAAGAGUGCUAAAAAGUCUUGACAACUAAAUGUGAUACCUGGUCCUAGACUGGAUGUUUGGGGAGGGGAGAUGCUAUAAAGAACAUUCCAAUGGACAAAAUUGGAAUCCUGAUAGUAAAGUAUUGGCUCAAUGUUAAAUGUGCUGCUGUUGAUACUUGUAUUAUGGUCGUGUACAAGGAUAUCCCUCUUCUUAGAAAUACACUCUGAAGUAUUUCGUAGGGAAGGCAAUGGCACCCCACUCCAGUACUCUUGCCUGGAAAAUCCCAUGGAUGGUGGAGCCUGGUGGGCUGCAGCCCAUGGGGUUGCACAGAGUCUGACACGACUAAGCGACUUCACUUUCACUUUUCACUUUCAUGCAUUGGAGAAGGAAAUGGCAACCCACUCCAGUGUUCUUGCCUGGAGAAUCCCAGGGACGCGGAAGCCUGGUGGGCUGCUGUCUAUGGGGUUGCACAGAGUCGGACACGACUGAAGUGACUUAGCAGCAGCAGCAGCAGUGGCCUUCAGAGAGUAACGAGUGAUUCAAAUGUUGUGCUCAUGGAAGCAUUGAGAACAAUUUGUGCUGCUGUUGAUUCUCACUUAUUUUGCAUUUUUCUUUAAUAAUGUGCAGUUAAUCUGUAUUUCUUAUGACUGAAUGUGAAUCUACAAUUAUCUCAUUAAAAAUUUCAGUUACAAGGAGUUCCCUGUUGGCC
ensembl:lncRNA